rnacentral:rRNA from 2 species
UCCUGCUUAACACAUGCAAGUCGAACGGUGAUGCCCAGCUUCNGNNNAUCAGUGGCGAACGGGUGAGUAACACGUGAGCAACCUGCCCCCUACUUCGGGAUAAGCCUUGGAAACGGGGUCUAAUACCGGAUAUGAACACGUACCGCAUGGUGUGUGUUGGAAAGUUUUUCGGUGGGGGAUGGGCUCGCGGCCUAUCAGCUUGUUGGUGGGGUAAUGGCCUACCAAGGCGUCGACGGGUAGCCGGCCUGAGAGGGCGACCGGCCACACUGGGACUGAGACACGGCCCAGACUCNUACGGGAGGCAGCAGUGGGGAAUAUUGCACAAUGGGCGAAAGCCUGAUGCAGCGACGCCACGUGAGGGAUGACGGCNUUCGGGUUGUAAACCUCUUUCAGCAGGGAAGAAGCGAAAGUGACGGUACCUGCAGAAGAAGCGCCGGCUAACUACGUGCCAGCAGCCGCGGUAAUACGUAGGGGNCAAGCGUUGUCCGGAAUUAUUGGGCGUAAAGAGCUCGUAGGCGGUCUGUCGCGUCUGGUGUGAAAUCCCAUGGCUCAACUGUGGGCUUGCAUCGGGUACGGGCAGACUAGAGUACAGUAGGGGAUA